GAUGAAGCCCAGCUUGCUGGGUGGAUUAGUGGCGAACGGGUGAGUAACACGUGAGUAACCUGCCAUUAAACUCUGGGAUAAGCCUGGGAAACUGGGGUCUAAUACCGGAUAGGAGCGUCCACCGCAUGGUGGGUGUUGGAAAGAUUUAUCGGUUUUGGAUGGACUCGCGGCCUAUCAGCUUGUUGGUGAGGUAAUGGCUCACCAAGGCGACGACGGGUAGCCGGCCUGAGAGGGUGACCGGCCACACUGGGACUGAGACACGGCCCAGACUCCUACGGGAGGCAGCAGUGGGGAAUAUUGCACAAUGGGCGCAAGCCUGAUGCAGCGACGCCGCGUGAGGGAUGACGGCCUUCGGGUUGUAAACCUCUUUCAGUAGGGAAGAAGCGAAAGUGACGGUACCUGCAGAAGAAGCACCGGCUAACUACGUGCCAGCAGCCGCGGUAAUACGUAGGGUGCGAGCGUUAUCCGGAAUUAUUGGGCGUAAAGAGCUCGUAGGCGGUUUGUCGCGUCUGUCGUGAAAGUCCGGGGCUUAACCCCGGAUCUGCGGUGGGUACGGGCAGACUAGAGUGCAGUAGGGGAGACUGGAAUUCCUGGUGUAGCGGUGGAAUGCGCAGAUAUCAGGAGGAACACCGAUGGCGAAGGCAGGUCUCUGGGCUGUAACUGACGCUGAGGAGCGAAAGCAUGGGGAGCGAACAGGAUUAGAUACCCUGGUAGUCCAUGCCGUAAACGUUGGGCACUAGGUGUGGGGACCAUUCCACGGUUUCCGCGCCGCAGCUAACGCAUUAAGUGCCCCGCCUGGGGAGUACGGCCGCAAGGCUAAAACUCAAAGGAAUUGACGGGGGCCCGCACAAGCGGCGGAGCAUGCGGAUUAAUUCGAUGCAACGCGAAGAACCUUACCAAGGCUUGACAUGUUCUCGAUCGCCGUAGAGAUACGGUUUCCCCUUUGGGGCGGGUUCACAGGUGGUGCAUGGUGU
rnacentral:rRNA from 1 species